rnacentral:rRNA from 1 species
GGAAACGAAUGGAGCUAGCAUUUGUGCUUUCGACAAUCAGUUGGACGAGCUUUGGGGCAGUUAGUGGAAGAGAGUGUAACAGCUCCUUGCAUUGGCUGUUCCUGGGGUUCGGACAAUGCACUUGUAGUUAGUACAGGCCAACAUCAGUUCGGACUGGGAUAUAAACUUCAGGGGAAGGUGGUUACGGCGCUUCGGUGUCGUAAUGUUAUAACCCUUGUUGCAAGUCCUGGUCUGGACUGAGGAGCAGCAGCACGCAACUUCGGAGAGCUACCGCUGUUGACGCCAGAGUGUAGGACUGCUUCACGGCAGUGUUGCAUUCUUCGUGUCAUCACACGGGGUUUACCCCAGAAACGUGCUUAUGAUGUUGGCGAAAUGGCUUCAUCCGACCCGUCUUGAAACACGGACCAAGGAGUCUAACAUAUACGCGAGUCUUUGGGUUGAAAGCCCGCAGGCGAAAUGAAAGUGAAGGCACACUUGGUGUGCUGAGGUGAGAUUUACAAUUGCAUCAUCGACCGAUCUGGAUGGUUUCCUGAAAGAUUUGAGUAAGAGCGUAUCUGUUGGGACCCGAAAGAUGGUGAACUAUGCCUGAACAGGGUGAAGUCUGAGGAAACUCAGAUGGAAGCUCGUAGCGAUUCUGACGUGCAAAUCGAUCGUCUGAUUUGGGUAUAGGGGCGAAAGACUAAUCGAACUAUCUAGUAGCUGGUUCCCUCCGAAGUUUCCCUCAGGAUAGCUGGAACUACUAGCAGUUUUAUCAGGUAAAGCGAAUGAUUAGAGGAUUUGGGGUCGAAAUGACCUCAACCUAUUCUCAAACUUUAAAUAGGUAAGAAGCCUGGCUUGCUUAAUUGAAGUCAGGCACUGAAUGCAAGUUUCAAGUGGGCCAUUUUUGGUAAGCAGAACUGGCGAUGCGGGAUGAACCGAACGCGAAGUUAAAGUGCCAAAGUUCACGCUCACCUAGAACCCAGAAAAGGUGUUGGCUGAUGAAGACAGCAGGACGGUGGCCAUGGAAGUCGGAACCCGCUAAGGAGUGUGUAACAACUCACCUGCCGAAUCAGCCAGCCCUGAAAAUGGAUGGCGCUCAAGCGUGACACUUAUACUUUGCCGUUGCUGUAAGAGACUAUACCGCAACGAGUAGGAGGGCGUGGAGGUCGUGAAGCAGCUUUGGGCGUGAGCCUGAGUGAAACGGCC